rnacentral:rRNA from 1 species
UAGAGUUUGAUCCUGGCUCAGGACGAACGCUGGCGGCGUGCCUAAUACAUGCAAGUAGAACGCUGAAGGAGGAGCUUGCUUCUCUGGAUGAGUUGCGAACGGGUGAGUAACGCGUAGGUAACCUGCCUGGUAGCGGGGGAUAACUAUUGGAAACGAUAGCUAAUACCGCAUAACAGUAGAUGUUGCAUGACAUUUACUUAAAAGGUGCAAUUGCAUCACUACCAGAUGGACCUGCGUUGUAUUAGCUAGUUGGUGGGGUAACGGCUCACCAAGGCGACGAUACAUAGCCGACCUGAGAGGGUGAUCGGCCACACUGGGACUGAGACACGGCCCAGACUCCUACGGGAGGCAGCAGUAGGGAAUCUUCGGCAAUGGACGGAAGUCUGACCGAGCAACGCCGCGUGAGUGAAGAAGGUUUUCGGAUCGUAAAGCUCUGUUGUAAGAGAAGAACGAGUGUGAGAGUGGAAAGUUCACACUGUGACGGUAUCUU